CAGAAUAUUUCGAUCAUCAUAGAAAGUUCUACUAAACAGCUUUGACCUAUAUUAAUUUUUCAAUUAAUUAAUUGGAAUGAAGUCAAAACAUGGAAAUACAAUUACUGUUAUCAUGACACAUACCAUAAACUCACCUCUCAUCUUGAGGCAGUGCAAAGAUUGAACUAUUAUAAUCAGAAAGUCUUUGGUGUAGGAAAAAAUGGAAUAUGAGUACUUAAUCGAGUUUUAAAGUUACAGGCUCCUAGUGACAAUUAAAAGCAAAUCAACUUCUAGUAGGUUGUAUUACUAAAUUUAAUUUUUCUAACAACAUCUUUUUUACUAUAUCCAGGUUUAACGGCUCUCAGUACAAUCCUUUAUGCCACCGCAGCCAGGUCACUACAGCCAAGCCAGACUAUAAAAGCUAACUCCGUCUGACCUCGAGAUGCAUGAACAAGCCCAGCAGAUGAGCAGAAAAGAUGGCCCUGGUUGCAAGUAGAAAAAAAAGAAGAAACAACAGAAUUUGCUAUGGCAUGCUCCCCUCUACAGUCCAAAUAUAACUGAGCAAUGUGAAUUAUACCUGAAAGCAUAACUUCAAAGGAAUUGACAGUAUGUGAGUUUGCAAAAUCUGGAGAGAAAGCAAAUCACAUAUCAGCUUAACAACAACUCUACAUGUACCAAGUGCAUACUUGAAUAUAUCAAAAUGAAGGGCUUUUGCAUCAGUAAAGCUGGGAAGAAUUUAUCUUCUUUCAUGAAGCUGCCAUCAGGGAUUCCACAAAGUGAAUGAGAAAAAUGGUUCCAAAUUUGCUAUCCACAAAAAACAUCUGCUUCAAGGGAAAUGAUCAUUGUCAUGAAGCAUAGCUGAGCUUUUAUUCUUCUAGUAUCAGGAGACAGUCCCACUACAGCUCUACAGUGAGGUUUUUCUUUCUUUUGUUUUGUUUUGUUUUUACCUGAGUGUUACAAGCUUUUUGAAAUAUUUUGCUCCACAGUGUAUUUAUAGAGCAAAACUUCUAGACAAAUAAUAGAAACAAUCUGGUUAGCAAGUACAAUGCAGAGCAAAACAGGAAAAUGCAUAUGGAUCUAGGUAGAAUGUAGAAAAAAUAUUAAAAGGAAUUCAUACCCAUGACUGCAAAUAGAUAUCAUUUUCCCAUGCAUUACUUCUACCUUUUUGUGCAGGUGAUUUUCCAGGUUUGCAUUUUCUGAAGCUAGAUUGAUGGUGCCUUAGUCUCCUCUCACCAUUGCUAGUGAGUUUCUAGCUGCAAUUAGCUUAACUUUUUUUGUUCACCAUUAACAGUAAAACAAUGACUGUCUAAGUAAUCUUAAGAGAUCAUUUCUCCAUAAGCAAGCACAACAGUAAUAAUAAUAAGGCAAAAAAUACAUCUAUAAGCAUAGAAAACCAAAAUACAUUGGAAUCUUCCCAUAGACCCUGUAACACCUUUGAGGAGAGAGAAAGAUAU
rnacentral:lncRNA from 1 species